GGAUCCUGGGGACGACUGGCUGGUGGAAUCCUUGCGCUUGUAAAUCGUACGGGGCUGGGACAUGGGAGCUGGGCCUGGAGCUUGCCUGGCGGGCGGAUGGGUGUGGGUGGAGGCACGUUGGGGAUCCUGGUGCAGAGUGGGCCAGCUGUGGCCUCGGGGCUCGCCACCGUGGAGGACUCCGCCUGGGCCUAGGCCCCCAUCUCUAGGAAAUGGCUCCUUCCUGCGUGCGCGCGUUGUGAGAUUACUAGUAAGAGCCGCGCUUGUGAAGACGCAGUGCCCAGUUAGUUUGCGCCAGCCUCUGAGUUCAGCUCAGAACACAGAUGAUCUCAUUGAUUCCUCACGUCAACCUUGGGAAAUCUGGGUACCCUGGGACGUCCACACAUGAGGACCGAGGCUCAGGGACAUCAAGGGACUGGCCUGGUCCCAGAAACAGGGAGUAAAAUGGGAAGUAAACUCAGUCCCACGUCUGCCUGACUCCAGAGUUUGGGCCACUGAACCAUGCGGCUGCCAUCUUGGAGUUCUUUGAGCUGUGAAGUGCUGUGCAUCGUGUGAUUCUGUGUCCCUUUUGUGCAGGAGUCUUUGUUGCUGGCUAUGAAAGCCUGAAAAAGAAUGAAAUUCUUCAUCUGAAAUUACCUCUCAGACUUUCUGUAAAGGAAAACAAGGGCUUAUUCCCAGAAAGAGAUUUCAAAGUGCGCCAUGGAGGAUUUUCAGACAGGUCUAUCUUUGAUCUAAAGCAUGUGCCACAUACCAGAUUGCUGGUUACCAGUGGCCUUCCAGGUUGUUAUCUGCAGGUGUGGCAGGUUGCAGAGGACAGUGAUGUCAUUAAAGCUGUCAGCACCAUUGCUGUGCAUGAGAAAGAGGAGAGUCUCUGGCCUAGGGUGGCCGUCUUCUCCACAUUGGCACCCGGAGUCCUCCAUGGGGCGAGGCUCCGAAGUCUGCAGGUCGUUGAUCUGGAGUCCCGGAAGACCACGUACACCUCAGAUGUCAGUGACAGUGAGGAGCUGAGUAGCCUGCAGGUCCUAGAUGCAGACACCUUUGCCUUCUGCUGUGCUUCAGGCCGGCUGGGGCUUGUUGACACCCGGCAGAAGUGGGCACCGUUGGAGAAUCGCAGCCCUGGCCCUGGGUCUGGUGGAGAGAGAUGGUGUGCUGAAGUUGGGAGCUGGGGCCAGGGCCCUGGGCCCAGCAUUGCCAGCCUUGGCUCAGAUGGGCGUCUUUGUCUUCUUGACCCCCGGGAUCUCUG
rnacentral:lncRNA from 10 species